GGAAAAGAAAGAUAAAUGGGAGAGAGAAUAGAGAGAGAGAGAGAGAAACCAUCUUGAUUUUACAAUUGUAUACAUAAAUAGCCAUGCACGGGGUCCAUUGGCCGACUGAUAUCCAUAUUUCCGGAAAUGGGGAGAAAGAGGAGAAAUAUCUAUAUUACGGAGCCUGCGAUUGCGGUCAAUGACGGGAGCUGCAUCGACUCGUGGGUGCCACUCGAUCUCCUGGAGGAAAUCCUGCUGAGAUUGCCAGUGCGGAGUCUCCUCAGAUGCAAGGCAGUGUGCAAGAGCUUGUACCAUCUCAUCAAAAGCGAACAAUUCCUCGCAUCGUAUCACGCGUGCUGGAAAAACUGUUACGGUGAGGAGUACGGCUUGGAUAAGUCUUUCAAUUGGAGUGGCCUGUAUUGGCACCCUCGCGAGAACAAAACCCUACGGGCUUUUGUCAGUCUGCAUGGAGCCCGCAACUGGAGAUGGGUCAGUGCAGAGAGCGGGCUUAAAAGAAGCCCAGGGGCUUGCCGGAACCGGUGGCGUGACUAUCUAGACCCCGGCCUUGUCGAUCCCAGACCCUUUUCCAAGGAAGAAGCAAAGAAAGUUGUCGAGCUGCACGGGUUACACUGCAUGAAGGGUCAUAGAUGGGCCCUUAUCGCCCGAGAACUCCCCGGAAGAAGAUGGCCUGCGGUAAAAGAGUGGUGGAAGAAAAAUAAAAAACCUGGCCGUACUUGAUGCUGAUCAGUUGAUUUCUCUAUGACACAGCUACCUUCAACGAUUAUCACGAUUUCACAUGAAUAUUCUCUCAGAAUAAAUGACAGUGGAUCGGUAGAUAGAUCCAAUGCUUUGCUUACUUUCGAUGGCAAUUAUCUUAGGUUCUAAACAUUGUUUUAUGUUAUGAGCUAUUGCUGCUUUUAACAAUACGCAUGAUGGAUAACUGAUAUAUAUUUCAUCCUUGUCUAAUGUCUCCUUCAAACUCCCAUGUUGAAUCUGAUCUUUAUGCACAUUGAGGUUUA